rnacentral:rRNA from 1 species
UGAGGAAUAUUGGUCAAUGGUCGCGAGACUGAACCAGCCAAGUAGCGUGCAGGAUGACGGCCCUCUGGGUUGUAAACUGCUUUUAGUUGGGAAUAAAAGGCGGUACGUGUACCGCGUAUUGUAUGUACCAUCAGAAAAAGGACCGGCUAAUUCCGUGCCAGCAGCCGCGGUAAUACGGAAGGUCCAGGCGUUAUCCGGAUUUAUUGGGUUUAAAGGGAGCGUAGGCGGAUUUUUAAGUCAGUUGUGAAAGUUUGAGGCUCAACCUUGGCACUGCAGCGCGAACUGGGGGCUUGAGUGCGCGCAGCGCAGGCGGAACUCGUGGUGUAGCGGUGAAAUGCUUAGAUAUCACGAAGAACUCCGAUCGCGAAGGCAGCCUGCGGGAGCGCAACUGACGCUGAGGCUCGAAAGUGCGGGUAUCGAACAGGAUUAGAUACCCUGGUA